CCCAAUGUGAACGUUACCAAACUGUUGCCUCGGCGGGAUCUCUGCCCCGGGUGCGUCGCAGCCCCGGACCAAGGCGCCCGCCGGAGGACCAACCAAAACUUCUUAUUGUAUACCCCCUCGCGGGUUUUUUUAUAAUCUGAGCCUUCUCGGCGCCUCUCGUAGGCGUUUCGAAAAUGAAUCAAAACUUUCAACAACGGAUCUCUUGGUUCUGGCAUCGAUGAAGAACGCAGCGAAAUGCGAUAAGUAAUGUGAAUUGCAGAAUUCAGUGAAUCAUCGAAUCUUUGAACGCACAUUGCGCCCGCCAGUAUUCUGGCGGGCAUGCCUGUCCGAGCGUCAUUUCAACCCUCGAACCCCUCCGGGGGGUCGGCGUUGGGGAUCGGCCCUGCCUUGGCGGUGGCCGUCUCCGAAAUACAGUGGCGGUCUCGCCGCAGCCUCUCCUGCGCAGUAGUUUGCACACUCGCAUCGGGAGCGCGGCGCGUCCACAGCCGUUAAACACCCAACUUCUGAAAUGUUGACCUCGGAUCAGGUAGGAAUACCCGCUGAACUUAAGCAUAUCAAUAAGCGGAGGAAAAGAAACCAACAGGGAUUGCCCCAGUAACGGCGAGUGAAGCGGCAACAGCUCAAAUUUGAAAUCUGGUCCCUAGGGCCCGAGUUGUAAUUUGUAGAGGAUGCUUUUGGUGAGGUGCCGCCCGAGUUCCCUGGAACGGGACGCCACAGAGGGUGAGAGCCCCGUCUGGCUGGCCGCCGAGCCUCUGUAAAGCUCCUUCGACGAGUCGAGUAGUUUGGGAAUGCUGCUCAAAAUGGGAGGUAUAUGUCUUCUAAAGCUAAAUAUUGGCCAGAGACCGAUAGCGCACAAGUAGAGUGAUCGAAAGAUGAAAAGCACCUUGAAAAGAGGGUUAAAUAGUACGUGAAAUUGUUGAAAGGGAAGCGCUUGUGACCAGACUUGGGCGCGGCGGAUCAUCCGGGGUUCUCUCCGGUGCACUUCGCCGCGUCUAGGCCAGCAUCAGUUCGUCGCGGGGGAAAAAGGCUUCGGGAACGUGGCUCCUCCGGGAGUGUUAUAGCCCGUUGCAUAAUACCCUGCGGUGGACUGAGGACCGCGCAUCUGCAAGGAUGCU
rnacentral:rRNA from 1 species